UAGAACGCUGGCGGCAGGCCUAACACAUGCAAGUCGAGCGGUUGAGAGUAGCUUGCUACUUGAUGCAGCGGCGGACGGGUGAGUAACGCGUGGGAAUCUGCCCAGUAGUGGGGGACAACAGCCGGAAACGGCUGCUAAUACCGCAUACGCCCUACGGGGGAAAGGGGGGGAUCUUCGGACCUCUCGCUAUUGGAUGAGCCCGCGUCGGAUUAGCUAGUUGGUAGGGUAAAGGCCUACCAAGGCUACGAUCCGUAACUGGUCUGAGAGGAUGAUCAGUCACACUGGAACUGGGACACGGUCCAGACUCCUACGGGAGGCAGCAGUGGGGAAUAUUGGACAAUGGGGGAAACCCUGAUCCAGCCAUGCCGCGUGAGUGAAGAAGGCCUUAGGGUUGUAAAGCACUUUCAGUGGGGAGAAAGGUUUGUCACCUAAUACGUGAUGAAAUUGAUGUUACCCACAGAAGAAGCACCGGCUAACUCCGUGCCAGCCGCCGCCGUAACAC
rnacentral:rRNA from 1 species